AACGCGAAGAACCUUACCUGGUCUUGACAUCCUGGGAACCCUGAAGAGAUUUAGGGGUGCCGCAAGGAGCCCAGAGACAGGUGCUGCAUGGCUGUCGUCAGCUCGUGUCGUGAGAUGUUGGGUUAAGUCCCGCAACGAGCGCAACCCUUAUCCCUAGUUGCCAUCGGGUCAAGCCGGGCACUCUAGUGAAACCGCGCGGGAUAACCGCGAGGAAGGUGGGGAUGACGUCAAGUCCUCAUGGCCUUUAUGUCCAGGGCUACACACGUGCUACAAUGGUCGGUACAAACCGUCGCAAACCCGCGAGGGGGAGCUAAUCGGAAAAAGCCGGCCUCAGUUCGGAUUGGAGUCUGCAACCCGACUCCAUGAAGCUGGAAUCGCUAGUAAUCGCGGAUCAGAACGCCGCGGUGAAUACGUUCCCGGGCCUUGUACACACCGGCUAC
rnacentral:rRNA from 1 species